rnacentral:rRNA from 1 species
UACGGGGGGGGCAAGCGUUGUUCGGAAUUACUGGGCGUAAAGGGCUCGUAGGCGGCCAACUAAGUCGGAUGUGAAAUCCCUAGGCUUAACCUGGGAACUGCAUCCGAUACUGGAUGGCUUGAAUCCGGGAGAGGGAAGCAGAAUUCCCGGUGUAGUGGUGAAAUGCGUAGAUAUCGGGAGGAAUACCAGUGGCGAAGGCGGCUUCCUGGCCUGUUCUUGAUGCUGAGGCGCGAAAGCUAGGGUAGCAAACGGG